rfam:Schistosoma margrebowiei strain Zambia genome assembly, scaffold: SMRZ_scaffold0001921
AUCCAGCUAACGAGUCUCAAAUAGGAUGAAAUGCACGUCCUAGAU